AACGAACGCUGGCGGCAUGCCUAACACGUGCAAGUCGAACGAGACCUUCGGGUCCAGUGGCGCACGGGUGCGUAACGCGUCGGAACCUGCCCUUAGGGUCGGAAUAACUCUCCGACAGGGGUGCUAAUACCGGAUAAUGUCUUCGGACCAAAGAUUUAUCGCCUUUGGAUGGGCCCGCGUUGGAUUAGCUAGUUGGUAGGGUAAAAGCCUACCAAGGCGGCGAUCCAUAGCUGGUCUGAGUGGAUGAUCAGCCACACUGGGACUGAGACACGGCCCAGACUCCUACGGGAGGCAGCAGGGGGGAAUAUUGGACGAUGGGCGAAAGCCUGAUGCAGCAGGGCCGUGAGAGUGAUGAAGGCGUUAGGGUUGUAAAGCUCUUUUACCCGGGAUGAUAAUGAGAGUACCGGGAGAAUAAGCUCCGGCUAACUCCGU
rnacentral:rRNA from 1 species